rnacentral:rRNA from 1 species
CUGAGAGGAUGACCAGCCACACUGGAACUGAGACACGGUCCAGACUCCUACGGGAGGCAGCAGUGGGGAAUAUUGCACAAUGGGCGCAAGCCUGAUGCAGCCAUGCCGCGUGUAUGAAGAAGGCCUUCGGGUUGUAAAGUACUUUCAGCGGGGAGGAAGGGAGUAAAGUUAAUACCUUUGCUCAUUGACGUUACCCGCAGAAGAAGCACCGGCUAACUCCGUGCCAGCAGCCGCGGUAAUACGGAGGGUGCAAGCGUUAAUCGGAAUUACUGGGCGUAAAGCGCACGCAGGCGGUUUGUUAAGUCAGAUGUGAAAUCCCCGGGCUCAACCUGGGAACUGCAUCUGAUACUGGCAAGCUUGAGUCUCGUAGAGGGGGGUAGAAUUCCAGGUGUAGCGGUGAAAUGCGUAGAGAUCUGGAGGAAUACC